rnacentral:rRNA from 1 species
CCUACGGGAGGCAGCAGUGAGGAAUAUUGGUCAAUGGUCGGGAGACUGAACCAGCCAAGCCGCGUGAGGGAUGAAGGUACAGAGUAUCGUAAACCUCUUUUGUCAGGGAACAAAGGCGGGGACGCGUCCCCGGAUGAGUGUACCUGAAGAAAAAGCAUCGGCUAACUCCGUGCCAGCAGCCGCGGUAAUACGGAGGAUGCGGGCGUUAUCCGGAUUUAUUGGGUUUAAAGGGUGCGCAGGGGGUCUGUUAAGUCAGCGGUCAAAGCCCGGGGCUCAACCCCGGACCGGCGGUUGAACUUGGCAGUCUUGAGUUGGAGAGAAGUAUGCGGAAUGCGAGGUGUAGCGGUGAAAUGCAUAGAUAGCGCGCAGAACUCCGAUUGCGAAGGCAGCAUGCCGGAUCCACACUGACGCUGAGGCACGAAAGCGUGGGUAUCGAACAGGAUUAGAUACCCCUGUAGUC